rnacentral:tRNA from 1 species
UACAGUUUAGUUUAAGUAGAAUGUUUGUUUUUGGUGCAAAUGGUUUAACUGUAA